rnacentral:rRNA from 1 species
CUGUCUCAGUUCGGAUUGGAGGCUGAAACCCGCCUCCAUGAAGUUGGAUUCGCUAGUAAUCGCGCAUCAGCCAUGGCGCGGUGAAUACGUUCCCGGGCCUUGUACACACCGCCCGUCAAGCCAUGGGAGCCGGGGGUGCCUGAAGUUCGUGACCGCAAGGAGCGACCUAGGGCAAAACUGGUGACUGGGGCUAAGUCGUAACAAGGUAGC